rnacentral:tRNA from 1 species
CAAAUUAAAGCUUUAAAUUAAGCGUUUUAUUUACAUUAAAGAGUUAGCUGUGAAAUUCAGUUUAAUUUGA